UACCAGCACCCCGAGUGGUCGGGACGUUUAUUGGGCCUAAAGCAUCCGUAGCCGGUUCUACAAGUCUUCCGUUAAAUCCAACUGCUUAACAGAUGGGCUGCGGAGGAUACUAUAGAGCUAGGAGGCGGGAGAGGCAAGCGGUACUUAGUGGGUAGGGGUAAAAUCCGUUGAUCCAUUGAAGACCACCAGUGGCGAAGGCAGCUUGCCAGAACGCACUCGACGGUGAGGGAUGAAAGCUGGGGGAGCAAACCGG
rnacentral:rRNA from 1 species